GGACCCUUCAGUCCCAUAUGAAACAUAAAGACUGUAACUGUAUAGGCUUGCUACAGGUCAAUCUCACCACAUAGGCCAAUAGAGUGAUCUUUAUCUACAUGGAGGCCUAUUAUGACAGCACCCUGCAACCCCCAUCACAAGCACUAAACUGUGUGUGGAGCGAUUCCUGCGUGUGAAAUCUCUCGUACGCUGCUAAACAAACACCAAAUUGCUUUGCUGUGAUAUCAGACUCCCAGCGAAAAGGAGAUGCUGUAUGACUUGGUACAACAUAAAUGUCAGCUUAGUGAUUCACCACUAAUGAGGUGGCACCUGUGACAAGAGGGAAGGAAACUUUUGUUGUGGAAAACACACAAAAACACACUGAUGUGCUGCUUUUGAGAGUUGACAAGGAAACGCUCAAAGGGAUCAAAUUAUUUUACAUCUCAUACAUAUGCAUGUCUCCGUUAAAGUGUUCCACUUUGUUUAUUUACACUGUGUUAGGGUUGUGAAUACAGCUGAGAUGAAGGGGAAUAGAAAGUGUAACAGUGCAUCAAAGAUAUGAGCAAUCUGAAGCUUCUUCACUUUCCAUUAAUGUAACUCCCGUUCUUGACUCUUUAUUGACCCAGUUGAUUGCUCUACCUGUCAAGACCAACCAUGCUUUUCACUAAUAUUGCUCUACUUUGAGUGCCACCAAGUGUCACCGCAUGAAAUAAUAAGUGAUCUUGGCUGAAUUGCAUUACACGCAAAAGAAAACUUACAGUUUUAGACAAUCUGGACUUGAACAUGUUCAUUUUUGCUGGAUUGUUAUUUUCUAUCACUGCUGUAUGUGGUUAAUGUAUUCUUACAGGUAAAUAUAAAUUACAUAUACAGAUAUGUUAAGUAAUGGACUAACCAUAAUACAUUAAACUCUUUUGUUCGGCUUCUUUA